rnacentral:rRNA from 1 species
UACGGAGGGGCUAGCGUUGUUCGGAAUUACUGGGCGUAAAGCGCACGUAGGCGGCUUUGUAAGUUAGAGGUGAAAGCCCGGGGCUCAACUCCGGAAUUGCCUUUAAGACUGCAUCGCUAGAAUUGUGGAGAGGUAAGUGGAAUUCCGAGUGUAGAGGUGAAAUUCGUAGAUAUUCGGAAGAACACCAGUGGCGAAGGCGACUUACUGGACACAUAUUGACGCUGAGGUGGCGAAAGCGUGGGGAGCAAACAGG